GGACAGGAUCCAGGAGUACGGUUCACCCGUUUGUAGUGGUGUGGACGGCCUGUGCCAGGGACCAGGAAAGAUAGGGCUGGAGCUCCAAGGGGCACGGAGGGGCUGUGAGAGCCAGAAGGGGGCUGAGUCAGCCAAGCAGCACCACUGGCUCCACCACACAGAGCUUUUUCUUUGCAGUGAAGUCUGGGCCGCUCACUUUUUAGCCCCAGGCUGGGGAAGAUGACAUAGGUUCCCAGACGGUGAGCCUCACCCAGUGAAAUUUCUUUCUGGCUGCAGGGUACAUGCAGACCUGACCUUUUGGGUUUGCAGAUCUGUGUGGAAAGAUAACCUUCUCACAGGAGGCUUGCAAAGGAAAUCCCUGCAAAUGAGGACAGUUUUCCUUUUCAAGGAUCAAGGCUACCAGUUUGGUUAAAAAAUUCAGCCAUAUGCUGUUUCCAUGGGACACACCAAGAUCAUAAGAACAUGGAAAAUUUGAAAAUCAAAAAAUGGGAAAACAGAUCAGGCAAAUGGCAACCACAAGAAAGUUGACAUCAGAAAAAAAUAUUUUUAAUUUAUUAUUUAAAAAGAAAUUUUUUUGAGACAGGGUCUCACUUUUGUCACUCAGGCUGGAGUGCAGUGGUGUGAUCUCGGCUCACUCCAACCUCCAUCUCCUGGGCUCAAGCGAUCCUCCUGCUUCAACCCCGCAAGUAACUGGGACUACAGGCACACGCCAUCAUGCCUGGCUAAUUUUUGUAUUUUUUGUAGAGACAGGGUCUUGCCAUGUCACUCAGGCUGGUCUCGCACUCCUGAGCUCAAGCAAUCCUCCUGCCUUGGCCUUCCAAAGUGCUAAGAUUACUAGCACGAGCCUCCACACCCAGUCUAAAAUAGAUUUUUAAGACAAAAACAUUACCAGGGAUAAAGAGGAUAACAUAAUGGCAAAAGGUUCAAUUCACUGGGAAGAUGUAACAACUGCAAAGCCGUAUAGCAUCUGUUUAAAUAGCCUCAAAAUGAGAGACCUCCAGAGACUGACAGCAGCAAACAUAUUUCCACAAGGGCACCUCCCAACACUCCUGGGUUCCGUUAGCACAGAAUGAGUGCUAGUUCUUUGGCAACCCAAGAUUAAGCCCUGUGGCCGCAGUGAAAAGAAUCCCAGGAGAAAACUCAGAAAUAAAAUGGAAGAAGUAAGACUUCAGGUUGAAAUCACUAGAAACCCCCAGGAAGUAAAGGAGGAAAAUGAAACCGAGGAACCAGAAAAACUAUCCAACAAGUUCAUUAAUACUUGGAGUGACCAGGAGAUCCACAGUUUCCUAAAAGAAUCUCUUAAAUUUGAAGAAAUCUCUUGAAGAGUCGAGGAAGAAUCAUGAACAGUCUAAAGUGAUUGUCCAGCAUCUCAAGCAGACGGGUACACAGUGGAGCUGGCACGUGACAAGUUUGCAGGACUUUUACUGGACUACUCAUGAGGCCAACCUGAGGCCAAGGAGCCAGUGCCAGCCCUGUCCUGAUGGAGAGGCCCUACACGGGAUUCUGGGAUACAGAUGGAAGGAUGUCUUUUCAGUUCCUCCCUCUGCAGAUGCAAUUGUUCUUCCAACUGCCUAGUACCAGCCCGGGGCCUGUGCCAUCCCUGUUCACUUUGAGGUGCUGCUGUGGGCUCCCUCACCCACGAACUGCAUGUGGGAUCGUUGGGUGCCCAGAUAAGAACCCUGAAACAUGAGCCCCCCACGGUCAGCCCCAUGCUUGUUUCCUGACUUCUUCCCUGCAGCCUGCAGCCUGCAGCCUCUAGCAGCAUUGGCCACCCUCUUCUGAUUCUGAUCCAGAUUCUGAACUGAGAGACAAUUAGAAUCUGGAUCCCAAUUCCCUCUGAAAGCAACAGAAUAACAUGAUCUAUACACGGAUGCAUGACACUUUGCCAAGCCCAAUGUAAUGAGAAUAAAGUGUGAAUAAAAUAAAUGGCUUCAAAAUACAAAAAGCAAAGAUGAAAAAAUUACAGGGAGAAAUCCAUAAUAGUGAGAGAUUUGGCAUGCCUCCAUCAUAUAUUAAUACAUCAAGCACAAAAGAAAAUAGAUUUGAGAAAAUUAAUGGAUGUGAUUUAACAUACAUACAUAGUAUUGGGAGAUCAUUCUUCACUAGUCUUUCAUACUUCUGCACAUCUUGUGAGUGCAGCUUUUGUUCUGGAUUAUCUGUUCAAGUAUGUACAAUGAAUAGCCUUGGACUAUAGAGACAGUGCCUCCCUCUGGAGUGAACAGCAAGUUUGUUCACCGCCCAGUCUAAUAAAGACACUGCCUCCCUCUAGGUCAAAGUUUGAGGAGGUUUGUUUGCAGCUCAUUACAAAAAACUGGAACUUCCUAGUCUUGAGGUUUCUCAGCUGUGAAACGCACACACUGCAUCCACCUGGGCCUCUUCGUAUUAGCCUCAU
rnacentral:lncRNA from 1 species